CAGCCACACUGGUCAGCUCAGCUGAACACGAACGCCUACUAUCUACUUUCAAACCAGAUUGAAAACAUACUCCCUACACCUUUUCCACUGCUGCAGCCUCGGAAACCACAAUUACUAUAUUCAUUCAUCUUCAAGAAGAACGACAACCCGUCACGUAAAUGCCAGACAACACAGAGUGUUUCGUGUUGCAUCUUCUCUCUUCAAAAAGCCACUAAAACUUCUCAUCGACUCAUCUUCACAAGAACGCGAACAAUUUUAAAGCUGCAUGGUUACCUCAGUAGCGAACGCUUCAUCGAACAACGACAACUGCAAUCUGUUUGAGGUCAAAGCAGUAAGUAUUCCCUCUGAUCUUUAUA